UGUUAAAAAAUUCAUCCAUUUCUACUAUUAAAAACAAGCAUGAUUAACCGAAUAAUUAAACAAUGACACAUGUCGUGCUUGGUGUACCUCAUGUUGAUAUAUAAUGAUAAGUUUUUAACUGUAAAAAUAGAUAAAAUUUUUAACA
rfam:Gossypium raimondii Chr12_contig_833, whole genome shotgun sequence.